rnacentral:rRNA from 1 species
AGUUCGGAUUGUAGGCUGCAACUCGCCUACAUGAAGUCGGAGUUGCUAGUAAUCGCGGAUCAGAAUGCCGCGGUGAAUGCGUUCCCGGGUCUUGUACACACCGCCCGUCACACCAUGGAAGUUGGGGGCGCCCGAAGUUGCCUAAGAAAUAAGGUACCUAAGGCGAAACCAAUGACUGGGGUGAAGUCGUAACAAGGUAUC